GUGCAUGUGUCUCAUACACUGAAGGGUAUAACAACAACAAAACAGUGAAUGUGCAUGUGUCUCAUACACUGAAGUGUGUGAAUGUGCAUGUGUCUCAUACACUGAAGGGUGUACAACAACACAACUGUGAAUGCCCAUGUGUCUCAUACACUGAAGGGUAAACAGUGAAUGUGCAUGUGUCUCAUACACUCGAUUUUCGUGAUGUGAAUCACUGGAUUGUCUGGUCCAGACUCGAGAUCGCCCUCCUAGAGUAGGUUAAUUGCUGAGCGUGGCUCUAAAUAACAAGCAACUAUACCAAACAUAUCCUGCCGGAUACAACUACAGAAUAUGAUAUGUACAUGUGUAUCAUAUGCACACGGAUAUACCUGUUUGAGUCAACCCAAAGUGCAUAGAAAGAACAACUUACUCUCUUACUUAUUUGCAUACGGUUUAUUUAGUAAAAAUAUAAUAUCUGUUCACAUAGACAUAUUAGUAUAUAAAGACACGAUUUUGUGAGGAAUAUACACAAUUAACAAUGACAUAUAAUAUCAAGAUGGCGAAACACCUGCUACACCAAGGGAAACAUACAUGGUCCAAACGUAUUGCAUUGUUGCACUGUUCACUGCAGCAGGG